UGGCGGCGUGCUUACACAUGCAAGUCUUAACGAGAAAGCCUUCUUCGGAAGGCGAGUACAGUGGCGCACGGGUGAGUAACGCGUAGAUAACCUGCCUGGAUGUCUGGGAUAACCCUCCGAAAGGGGGACUAAUACCGGAUACGCUGGUUUGUCACAAGACGAAUCAGGAAAGAUGGCCUCUGAUGUAAGCUAUCGCAUUUUGAGGGGUCUGCGUACCAUUAGCUUGUUGGUGGGGUAACGGCCUACCAAGGCGACGAUGGUUAGCGGGUCUGAGAGGAUGAUCCGUCACACUGGCACUGAAACACGGGCCAGACUCCUACGGGAGGCAGCAGUGAGGAAUAUUGCGCAAUGGGGGAAACCCUGACGCAGCGACGCCGCGUGAGUGAGGAAGGCCUUCGGGUCGUAAAGCUCUGUCAGAAGGGAAGAAGUGUUCAGCGGUUAAUACCCGUUGGAUUUGACGGUACCUUCAAAGGAAGCACCGGCUAACUCCGUGCCAGCAGCCGCGGUAAUACGGAGGGUGCAAGCGUUGUUCGGAAUCACUGGGCGUAAAGGGCGCGCAGGCGGUUUGUUAAGUCAGAUGUGAAAGCCCACGGCUCAACCGUGGAAGUGCAUUUGAAACUGGCAGACUUGAGUACCAGAGGGGAAAGUGGAAUUCCCGGUGUAGAGGUGAAAUUCGUAGAUAUCGGGAGGAAUACCGGUGGCGAA
rnacentral:rRNA from 1 species